UGCGAAGUCAGGAACAACUUUGAACUGCGUUUAGCUACCGAUAGAGUGUGUCAGGCAGGAAGGUGGCGAUUCCGCGUGUAGCAGUGAAAUGCGUAGAUAUGCGGAGGGUACACCGAUGGCGGAAAGCCUCCUGGGAUAACACUGACGCUCAUGCACGAAAGCGUGGGGAGCAAACAGGAUUAGAUACCCUGGUAGUCCACGCCCUAAACGAUGUCAACUAGCUGUUGUUGGGGCCUUCGGGCCUUGGUAGCGCAGCUAACGCGUAGAAGUUGACCGCCUGGGGAAGUACGGUCGCAAGAUUAAAACUCAAAGGAAUUGACGGGGACCCGCUACAAGCGGUGGAUGAUGUGGAUUAAUUCGAUGCAACGCGAAAAACCUUACCUACCCUUGACAUGUCUGGAAUCCCGAAGAGAUUUGGGAGUGCUCGCAAGAGAACCGGAACACAGGUGCUGUGGCUGUCGUCAGCUCGUGUCGUGAGAUGUUGGGUUAAGUCCGCAACGAGAGCGCAACCCUUGUCAUUAGUUGCUACGAAGAGGCCUCUAAUGAGACUGCCGGUGACAAACCGGAGGAAGGUGGGGAUGACGUCAAGUCCUCGUGGCCCUUAUGGGUAGGGCUUCACACGUCAUACAAUGGUCGGGACAGAGGGUCGCCAACCCGCGAGGGAGCCAAUCCCAGAAACCCCGAUCGUAGUCCGGAUCGCAGUCUGCAACUCGACUGCGUGAAGUCGGAAUCGCUAGUAAUCGCGGAUCAGCAUGUCGCGGUGAAUACGUUCCCGGGUCUUGUACACACCGCCCGUCACACCAUGGGAGUGGGUUUACCAGAAGUAGUUAGCCUAACCGUAAGGAGGUACCACGGUAGGAUUCAUGACUGGGGUGAAGUCGUAACAAGGUAA
rnacentral:misc_RNA from 1 species